GCCCUGUGCCCAGGGGCACGCUGCACUCACACUGUGGGUUUUCCUCCGUCCAUUUCCAGAGCUGUGCUGAGAGAGAGGAAGGUGGGUGGUGAUGGCCGGCCUACAGGACAGGGCCAUGGACAGGCAGCCCCAGAUAUGCCUGGCACAGUGAGUCCCUCACUACCAACUCCAGAGAGGGCUUCGUCCCUAGCAGCAGGGGGACCUCACGGGCACCGUUCAGCAAGGAGGCCAGGCACCAGAGUGUCUGCCAGAGGGGCAGCAGUGGCCUUCUAGGGACGGGGACCUCAUGUGCCAGCCCAGGGGAUGCGUGCACGGCCCCUGAGCUGGACUCCGAAGACGCCUACUUUUUACAUGUGGCCUUUAAUUAGAGAAAGGAGAAGUGCGAUUUCUCCCGAAGUCGUUUGCAUGUGGGGGGAUCUAGGCUCUGGUGGCAGUGGAACCAGUUCCUCCGGAGGCCGGAGGCCAGGGGCCUGCAGACACCCCGGAGCUGGGGCUUUCCUCUGGGCCAGCUCUCAUUUCCGCAUCUGAGCCUCCGGGUUCCAGAACCUCCCCCAUGCAGGGGCCGUUUUAGAUGAAGAGCUUCCUCUCAACCUAGAGUGACCCUGGCCUCCAGUCCACAGCAGGGCAUCCUGCCUGUGCACGGGUCCCUUGGGCUGGGCUGACCUCACAGGAUGGGAUGUCCAAAGGCCCCUGUGGCUUGGGCCCCUGCAUAUUUUUCUCCAGAACCCAUAGAAUUUGUGGGUGGGUGGAGUUAGCCACUCUGUCCCUCUCUACAACUUCCAACAUUCCCAGGGGACCCAUGCAAUGUGUCCUUCUCAUUCUUUCAACUUGUCUUUGUUUAUUUUUUUUUCAGUCAGGGCCUCACUAAGUUGCUGAGGCUGGCUUUGAACUUGUAAUCCUCCAGCCUCAGCCUCCUGAGCCACUGGGAUUACAGGCGUGCCCCACUACACCUGGCUUCAACUUUUUAUUACACAUGGAAGAUUUCCACACUGGAACGAGUUCACCCACAUCACCCCUAUUCUGCUCAUCUUUUGGAGACUCAUAGUUUGGUCCAAAUUUAUAAAAAUGUGGUAAGCUAAAAGAAAAAAAAAAUUACCUAAAAGAAGCUAUCGGCCCAAUCAAGAACGGCUUAAUAUUAUUCAUUUUCUUCUUUGAAUGUUGUUGUUUUGUUUUGUUGUUGUCCUGUCUCUCUAAGGUGCUUAGGUCCUCACUGAGUUGCUGAGGCUGGCUUUGAACUUGAGAUCCUCCUGUCUCAGCCUCCUGAGUCGCUGACACGGUGCCCACCCCUGAACAUGGUUCUUAAGAGCCGUUUUAGAGCUGCUGGCUCAGGGCUCCCUCCACAGGCCUCGGUUUGUUAAUAGUCUCUAGAUUCAAGCUCUCUGAGCGUUUCCGGGUGUGUUCAGAGUCUCCCACGUCGUCCAGAGGCUGUGCCCAGUGUUGUAAAUUGCCUCUCUCUGUUCUCGGCAUCUGGGUGUCGUCAGGCCUCCACCAAACCCCAGGAAGGCAGACUCCCCGCCAGCUCCUAUCCAACCUUGGUUUUCCCAAGUCCUUCCUUCACAGAGCCGGGCAGCACAACCAUUCCCAACUUGGAAGGCUUAGAUCUUUGUAAUUGAAAACACCUUCACGACACCUGCUGCUGGCCAGGCUGACCCCCAUCUUGCGCAGCUCCUCAGCUUCAUGCUCCCCUUCAGCAGGACAAGGGUACUGCCCACCUCCAGGCCUCUCCCUGAAGCCACUCCAAGAGCAGGUGGGUGAAGUCCCACUGCCCUGGGCACACUAGAGGCGAGACUCUCUGAGCCAAGGAAGUGGGUAGACACCACGGCGGGCACUGGUGACAGCGGAACCCCACAGAGCAGAGCCUCAGCCUCUGGACAGCCGGUGCCACCUGUCUGCCGAAUUCGAUGGUGAUCUGUGGUUUUCCUUCCGGAACUUCCAGCCCAAGAUCAAACACCUGUCAAGUCUGGGGACUGAGUAAGUCUGGGCCUUCUUGAAGGGUUCCGGGCUGCUCCUCAGUCUCCUCAUUUUUGAUUUCACAGCAGAUUUUCCUAUUCAAGUCGGGUGGGCGCCCUCUCUCCUCAGCGGGUUGGCUGGAGUCCUGAGGUAUGUGUUCAAGGGGGUUCCGCAGCCUCACUCUCCACGCCAGCCCAGGGCAGUCCCCACGUGAUUUGAAAGACCCACCCCAACACGCCCGACAGAAGCCACCGCGACGGCCCUGGCACCCUUGAGGAGACUGCUUCUGGCACCCAUGGGCACCGACACAGGUGCUCCAGGCCCCGGCACGGGCAUGGCAUCUGCAUGGGACCUGCAGGCCCGCCCCUUACCCCACGCUGGCUGCUGUCCAGUGUCUAACUCGGGUGACAUCCAGGCUGGGACAUGGUUGUCACCCCAGCUGUGGGGGCUCAUGGGAGGGCUGUGCCCCUUCAGGACACGGGCAGGGCUGUCAGAUGUGCAUGGCCGAGUUCAGAUGGGGACAGCCAGCUGCCGUGGGGGUGCGUUUUUAAAGUCCCAGCGGAUCUGAAGAUGGCUCCUGUGGCUUUGCUAUAGCAACACAAGGACACGAGGGCCUUUCUUCUCCUUCCUUCUCGGCCCUCCCUGGGCAGGUCAUGCUGGUGUAGGGAGGGUCCAGCAGGCCGGGUCAGUUCAGGAAGUUGACCUGGUGUCCACCGUGGGGCACUCAGCCAGACCUGGAUCUGUGUCCAUCCCCCAGUUUCUCUUCAGAUUUUGAGUCAGUUACUUUUCUCUGGAGGUUAGACUUGCUGUGAGGAGAAUAGCCAGGGGCCAGCAAGUCCACCUUUGGCCCCACGGUGGCCGGCCAGGCCUCUGCAGCCCCAGCGGGAAAGGGGGCAGCAAGGGUAGGCAGCUCAGAGAAGAGGGUGUCCCCAGUCCUCCACUGCGUGACGCCCAUGAAGUGGAGGCAGGGAGGCCAGGAACACACACCACACACACACCACAUACACACACCACGUACACACCAAACACAACACACACACAACAUACAACACACACAACACACAACAUACAACACACACAUCAUACACCACACAACACACACACAACACACAACACCCACACCAUACACACAUCACAUAUACCACACACAUCACACACACACAACACCCACACCACACACACACAUAUUACACACACCACACAUACACACACACACACCCCACAUGUGCCCACCAUGCUGAGAACAUGCAGGAGCGGUGGCCAUUGGGCCUCUGAUGAGCUGGGCAUUGUCCCCAGGCCUGUGGGCUGGGUGCUGAAAGUCCAGCCUAUUUAAAACACACACGGAACUUGGGAACGCAGCCCUCGAGAGCGGUGAGGAGACUGGAGGCACUCCCGCAGGCUCGGUGGCCUGCAGGGAUGGUCCCCCAUCACACAGAUGCAGGAAGGGCCAUGGGGUGCACUUAGGCUGCACAUGGCCAACGGCCAUUGCGGAUAUGUCCUCGCUUUCUCCGCUUUGUGGACUCUUGACCUGCUUAGAGUUGCCGUGGGUGAUGUCCCAGCCUCUGUCCUGAAAAGCAAGUGGUCCACUGCCUUGGUGAAGUGGCAGGUGACCAGAAGGUGAAGCUGAAGACACUCUCUCAGGGGUGAUGACCCUCGAGGGUGAACAUCAGGCCUGGACCUCCAAGGCCUUUGGCUGCUGGUUUCUAGUCCCCAUGCUUCGGCGUCCCCUGUGCCCAGCUGGAGGACAUGGCUCUGUCCAGUGGGAGCCCAGGCUGGGCCGCUGUGUGGCUGGGAGCCUGCUGUGCCUGGCAGGCCCAGGGAGGGCCAGGGCGGGCAGUGUGGGCAGGUUGUCCUGGGCCCAUCUGCACACUGCUUGGGACUCAUUUCUUUAGCGUUUUUCUCUAAAGCAGAUCCACGCUAAGUCAGCAGACCACAGGAGAGGACUCCCAGGAGUCCCCGGGGCCUGCGCGGCCUUCACCACGGCCUGCCCUGGGCUCCUGCGCUCCACUCUGGCUUCUGGCUUUGCUGCCCAAGGCCAGUCCCUGCAGCUGGCCAGGGCAAGGGGGCACCCGCCGCACCGUCCCAUCAGACCCACAGACACAAAGACGCAGCCCCGAGACGCUUCCAGAAGUGACCUCCACUUUAGGGCCCCUCACCCUCCGUGAGGCGGUCCUGCCCUGGGGAUGGCCGUGGUGGACAACACCCUCUUCUGUGCCACCAUGUUUCCCCUGGGACAGCUCACAGCAGGGCUGGUGCACUGGAGCGUCUAGCUGCGGGUGGAAGGGCAUUUUGAACAUUUUGUAGGCCAGUGUACUUCAGGGCCCACCUGAGAAGCGUGGCCACCAUCGGUCUCUAUUGCACAGUGCGUUCAGGCUCUCAGAGAAACUCUGUUGAAGGGAAACAUGGUUGCUCCAAAGAAAAAAUAUUAAGUGAAUGGAAAAUGUGGUCCUCAGAGAUGGCCAAGCAGGAGAAGGCGGCGGGCGCUCGGAGAGUAGCUAUGGGCUGUGGCUCUGGAGGCUGAGGACAGUCUUGGUGGCCAUGGGCGGGAGGCGCUCUCGCCCUCCUGGUCCAGGUACCUGCAGAUCCAGCGAGGGGCUGCAGUCCCCGUGGGGAUCGGACGUCCAGCACGGUGGGACUGGACCAGCCCACAGGAAGGGCACAGCCAUCUCGCAGGAAGACCCACUGAGGGACCAGGCGGCUGGGGAUCUGGUGGAGUCAUGGAGGGCAGCAUGUCCAGGACAGCAGGUCGGAGAAGCUCCAGAGCUUCCUCUACACGGGCCUCCCUCGGCCUUUCUGAACGGGAGCCACGUUUCCAUUCCACGCUGAGCCUGCAUCAUGAAGCUGGUGUGGACCCUCUGGGUCUUGACCCAGUGCCACUGGGGCUGUCCCUCAGGCGUGUGAGAUCAAGACAGGCACAGCUUGGCACAGGGCGGGCAUGGCGAAGACGUGGCCAGGAACAGGGGCCCCGG
rnacentral:lncRNA from 1 species